rnacentral:rRNA from 1 species
AAGAUUAAGCCAUGCAUGUCUCAGUGCAAGCCGAAUUAAGGUGAAACCGCGAAAGGCUCAUUAAAUCAGCUAUAAUUUAAUUGAUGGUACAACACAGUACUUGGAUAACUGUGGCAAUUCUAGAGCUAAUACAUGCAAAACGAGUUCCGACCGCUGGGACGAAUGCUUUUAUUAGAACAAAACCAAUCGACUCUGAAUAACUUUAAGCUGAUCGCACGGUCACGCACCGGCGACGCAUCUUUCAAAUGUCUGACUUAUCAACUUUCGAUGGUAGGUUACGUGCCUACCAUGGUGAUAACGGGUGACGGGGAAUCAGGGUUCGAUUCCGGAGAGGGAGCCUGAGAAACGGCUACCACAUCCAAGGAAGGCAGCAGGCGCGCAAAUUACCCACUCCCGGCACGGGGAGGUAGUGACGAAAAAUAACGAUGCAGGACUCUUUCCGAGGCUCUGCAAUCGGAAUGAGCACACUCUAAAUCAUUUAACGAGUAUCCAUUGGAGG